ensembl:lncRNA
AAUUCUCAUGGGCGUUGUUUGCCCAUCUCCCUCAGCCUCACCCUCUCUCUUAAAUGGCCCAGGAGCCAGGUCUCAUGCCUUCCUUUGGGCCAUGAGAUCAUAAGCAUGAUCAUUGUGAUGCUGUAAAUAUACUUUAGUUACCCCAGCUCUGCCAGACAUGGAAAUUCUCAGUCCACAGCGUGGGGUUGUAGAAAGCUAAGUUGCUCAUGUGUUAGGCCACACCAGCCCCAGGAACUGCUUCUGAAAGGCUGGAUAUGCUGGUAUGGAGUGAUGGCCAGUCCCCCACACCAGGCCCUGAAAUCAGGGUAGCUGGGCCUGCUGCUCAAGGUCCAACACAAACCCUCAAGAAACUGGGUGCUGGUCCCAGAUCUCCUUCUCAUCAUGGUCCAGAUGUGGACAACUGUCAUCUGCCCCUUCUGAUGAGGAAACUAAGCUUCCUGGGAAAUAAUUAUCAUACAACUGGUAAUCGGGAGAGCCAAGAAUUCUACACAACUCCACUGCUCAUGUGCUUAAUAAACAAAUUAUACUGCUUUCCAUGAGGGUUAUUAGGAAUUCAUAUAUUUAAGAAGCGCUAGGUAAAUUAGUCAAAAUUCCAAACAAUGGUUAAAUCUAGGGUGUUCAGAUAAAGCAAGUAAAUUUCCAAAAUAUAAG